GGGAAAGAAAGUGUCCUCUCCUAACCCACAUUGUGGGUGAGAAGAGCAGCAAGGUGGUAGCUGGGGGAAAACCCAUCUCUGUUCCAUGAAACUUUUGGUGGCAACCUGUACCUAGGAGAGAAGGACCCCUUUUCUUCUCACCUCUCAGUUCUGACUUCCCCACACAAAACUCUUCUGUCAGGCCAAUGCGCAUCUCUGUCACAGAAGAGAACAGAAAAGGCCACCAGAUACCAACAUUCACAUACUACCAAGGAGCCCGUUCCAAACCUGACCCUGGGCUAAGCCUGCAGACUUCUCACCAGAGCCACUGGGAAGAAAGCUCUUGAGCCGGAUCUCUCCCUGCACGUCUACCUUCAGCAGCGAGCCCUAAGAAGAACGGAGAGAUCAAUGUCCCGAGGAAAAACUCAGAGGGUCUGAUGCAUCUCACCUGGUCAGAGCGGCUGGACAGGACAGGGCGGCUGGCUGCACUGCUGGGGGCCACUUUGCUCUGCUGCGUCUCAGCCCCAAACUGUAAAGCACCCAAAGCAAGCAAUCUUCAG